rnacentral:tRNA from 2 species
GUACCAGUAGUUUAAGAAGAAUUUAGUGCUGAAGACACUAAGGUGAAUAAAUUUCUUGGGACA